UACGGGGGGAGCAAGCGUUGUUCGGAUUUACUGGGCGUAAAGGGCGCGUAGGCGGUCAGCACAAGUCAGUUGUGAAAUCUCCGGGCUUAACUCGGAAAGGUCAACUGAUACUGUGCGACUAGAGUGCAGAAGGGGCAACUGGAAUUCUCGGUGUAGCGGUGAAAUGCGUAGAUAUCGAGAGGAACACCUGCGGCGAAGGCGGGUUGCUGGGCUGACACUGACGCUGAUGCGCGAAAGCGUGGGGAUCAAACAGG
rnacentral:rRNA from 1 species